CAGCAGCCACGGUAAUACGUAGGGCGCAAGCGUUAUCCGGAAUUAUUGGGCGUAAAGAGCUCGUAGGCGGUUUGUCGCGUCUGCCGUGAAAGUCCGGGGCUCAACCCCGGAUCUGCGGUGGGUACGGGCAGACUAGAGUGAUGUAGGGGAGACUGGAAUUCCUGGUGUAGCGGUGAAAUGCGCAGAUAUCAGGAGGAACACCGAUGGCGAAGGCAGGUCUCUGGGCAUUAACUGACGCUGAGGAGCGAAAGCAUGGGGAGCGAACAGGAUUAGAUACCCGAGUAGUCCCUGUCUCUUAUAC
rnacentral:rRNA from 1 species